rnacentral:rRNA from 1 species
AGAGUUUGAUCCUGGCUCAGGAUGAACGCUGGCGGCGUGCCUAAUACAUGCAAGUCGAGCGAACUGAUUAGAAGCUUGCUUCUAUGACGUUAGCGGCGGACGGGUGAGUAACACGUGGGCAACCUGCCUGUAAGACUGGGAUAACUUCGGGAAACCGAAGCUAAUACCGGAUAGGAUCUUCUCCUUCAUGGGAGAUGAUUGAAAGAUGGUUUCGGCUAUCACUUACAGAUGGGCCCGCGGUGCAUUAGCUAGUUGGUGAGGUAACGGCUCACCAAGGCAACGAUGCAUAGCCGACCUGAGAGGGUGAUCGGCCACACUGGGACUGAGACACGGCCCAGACUCCUACGGGAGGCAGCAGUAGGGAAUCUUCCGCAAUGGACGAAAGUCUGACGGAGCAACGCCGCGUGAGUGAUGAAGGCUUUCGGGUCGUAAAACUCUGUUGUUAGGGAAGAACAAGUACGAGAGUAACUGCU